rnacentral:rRNA from 1 species
UACAGAGGUCUCAAGCGUUGUUCGGAUUCAUUGGGCGUAAAGGGUGCGUAGGCGGUUCGGUAAGUCAGGUGUGAAAUCUCCACGCUCAACGUGGAGGCGCCACCUGAAACUGCCGUGACUCGAGUCCGGUAGGGGAGUGUGGAAUUCCCGGUGUAGCGGUGAAAUGCGCAGAUAUCGGGAGGAACACCAGUAGCGAAGGCGGCACUCUGGGCCGGUACUGACGCUGAGGAGCGAAAGCGUGGGGAGCGAACAGG